rnacentral:rRNA from 1 species
CCUACGGGGGGCAGCAGUGAGGAAUAUUGGUCAAUGGGCGAGAGCCUGAACCAGCCAAGUCGCGUGAGGGAGUACUGCCCUAUGGGUUGUAAACCUCUUUUGUCGGGGAGCAAAAGCCGGACGUGUCCGGCUGUGAGAGUACCCGAAGAAAAAGCAUCGGCUAACUCCGUGCCAGCAGCCGCGGUAAUACGGAGGAUGCGAGCGUUAUCCGGAUUUAUUGGGUUUAAAGGGUGCGCAGGCGGAUUUUUAAGUCAGCGGUCAAAUCGUGGGGCUCAACCCCAUCCAGCCGUUGAAACUGGGGAUCUAGAGUGUGCGAGAGGUAAGCGGAAUUCGUGGUGUAGCGGUGAAAUGCUUAGAUAUCACGAAGAACCCCGAUUGCGAAGGCAGCUUACUAAACUGUGACUGACAUUGAUGCUCGAAAGUGUGGGUAUCAAACAAGAUUAGAUACCCCUGUAGUC